rnacentral:ncRNA from 1 species
GGAGCGCCUGGACUGCUGAAGUUCAGCAGUUGACGAGGACCGGGCCGAUCGAAAUAUUCGGCGGAUGGCCCGGAGGCUGGAUACGGCCUGAACAAUGGGAAAAAACAGUCCGUGAGGGCUGAACAGAU